GAUGAACGCUGGCGGCGUGCCUAAUACAUGCAAGUCGAGCGAACAGACGAGGAGCUUGCUCCUCUGACGUUAGCGGCGGACGGGUGAGUAACACGUGGAUAACCUACCUAUAAGACUGGGAUAACUUCGGGAAACCGGAGCUAAUACCGGAUAACAAGUUGAACCGCAUGGUUCAACAGUGAAAGACGGUCUUGCUGUCACUUAUAGAUGGAUCCGCGCCGCAUUAGCUAGUUGGUAAGGUAACGGCUUACCAAGGCAACGAUGCGUAGCCGACCUGAGAGGGUGAUCGGCCACACUGGAACUGAGACACGGUCCAGACUCCUACGGGAGGCAGCAGUAGGGAAUCUUCCGCAAAGGGCGAAAGCCUGACGGAGCAACGCCGCGUGAGUGAUGAAGGUCUUCGGAUCGUAAAACUCUGUUAUUAGGGAAGAACAAAUGUGUAAGUAACUAUGCACGUCUUGACGGUACCUAAUCAGAAAGCCACGGCUAACUACGUG
rnacentral:rRNA from 1 species